rnacentral:tRNA from 1 species
GGGUCUAUAGCUCAGCCGGAUAGAGCAACAGCCUUCUAAGCUGUGGGUCGCAGGUUCGAAUCCUGCUAGGCUCACCA